rnacentral:rRNA from 1 species
UACGUAGGGGGCAAGCGUUGUCCGGAUUUAUUGGGCGUAAAGAGCGUGUAGGCGGCCGUACAGGUCAGCUGUGAAAACUCGAGGCUCAACCUCGAGACGUCGGUUGAAACCGUACGGCUAGAGUCCGGAAGAGGAGAGUGGAAUUCCCGGUGUAGCAGUGAAAUGCGUAGAGAUCGGGAGGAACACCAGUGGCGAAGGCGGCCUUCUGGACCAAUACUGACGCUCAUGCACGAAAGCGUGGGGAGCAAACAGG